ACAAAACAUAAUUCCAAUUAGUUAUCAUAGAAAUGCCAAAAUGAACUCUACAUUUUGAAGACAGGUAAAAAAGAUGGGCUGCAUACAACCAAAUGUUUACAUGCAAUACUCAUAUAAUGCAGUUAUUUUACAGACCUAUCUCCCAAGUGAAAAUGCCUCUUGCAUCUUAACAAACUAUAAAGUGCUACCAUAGAAGUUUACAUCUCCAGUAAAAAUAUAAAAAAUAAAGAUAGAAGAAUGCCCCAUUUAGAAAGAAACAAUUCUUGGUGAUAGACGAUGGAGCUGAAGAUGCAAAGACAAGAUUCAUAACAGGCAUCACAAGACAACUUUCUACAAUACACUUCUCCAAAGUUUUGCAUAAAAGUUUGCAAGUUUAAUAGGUUUGAGUGCCAUGGAAUGUAAGCAAGAAUCACAUAAAGCAAUGUUUCAGAGAUUAGAAUAACUCCCAUCUGUAUCUUUAAAACUGCAGAUUUCAUAGUUUCUAUACAGUAUAAAACAAGAAGAGGGUACAGGAAUACAUAUUUUUUAUAUCUACCAACAGCAAUGCACAAACUCAGAUAACAAAGCCAAUAAACAAAAAUAAACAUAAGAAA
rnacentral:misc_RNA from 1 species